GCAAAACGUCUCCGCCUGCUGCUGCCUAAUGGAGCCCCCGAAAGGCUUCUUCGGCAUGGCGAGGAGGAGAACUGGAGAAACACAGGUAGCGAGGCUGCCCGUUUAGAAGGGCCACUGCCUGCAUUUUAAAGGGAGAAAAUACCAGAUAUUAAAGGGCUCUUCAGUCUAGCAGAAGAAGGCAUAACAAGAACCAAUGGCUGGAAGCUGAAGCUGGAUAUUCACAUUUGAAAUUAGGCACAAUACUUUUAACCUUUGGGACCAACUACCAAGGGAAGUGAUUGGUUCUCCAUCUCUUGACGCCUUCCGCUCAAGACUGAUGCCUUUCUGGAAGUUAUGCUUUAGUGAACACACAAGUUAUAGGGCUCAGUACAGGACUAACUGGUGAAAUGUAAUGGCCUAUGAAAUACGGGAGGUCUGACUAGAUGAUCUAAUGGUCCUUUCUGGCCUUAAACUCUUUGAAUCUAUGAAUUUGACCCUGUCUUUUUUAUGAUAAUUGACUACAGAUUGGACUGAGCUGAUAUGUGGUUGAAUGAGCCUUUACUCAGUGGUAUGUCGUACUCUGGUGCUCCCAUUUGUUUCUGUGGAAUGUAAGCUUUCAUUUGCUGAAAAAUAUUAAAUUUCUAACCUUUAUGGCUGUUAAGAAACCCUUGGGAUAUAAACCUAUGUACUGUGCACUUGCUGUAGGCACACACAGCCUGAAACUGUAGCUCUGAAAUGUGAAUUAUACACACUCAUUUCCAGGUGAUGUUAAUUCAGAAGCCUAAUGAUGACAAUUAAAAUGUUGCUAUCGUGAACAAUUUCAGCACCAAUCACUUUAGCAAACAAAUUGUCUGAAAUCAAUGGAACUGUGUUGCCAAUUUACACUAACUGAGGAUCUCUGUUUAGAAAUUUCUUUGUCAAACAGAAAGCAAACAGCAAAAAUAUAAUAUAAUAUAUGGAGAUAUCCCAUCUCCUAGAACUGGAAGGGACCUUGAAAGGUCAUCGAGUCCAGCCCCCUGCCUUCACUAGCAGGACCAAGUACUGAUUUUGCCCCAGAUCCCCAAGUGGCUCCCUCAAGGAUUGAACUCACAACCCUGGGUUUAGCAGGCCCAUGCAUAAUGCUUGCUUUAAAAUCUUCUCUGUGCUUUGGGUUGCUCGUGCUGAUGUAAUCUGGAAUUCCCCAUUAACUGCAUAUAGAAUAGAUACCAGGAAAAUAUUAAUAAUUCCAUGAGAGUUCUGUUCUGUAAAACAAGAACACAGAGCUUCUGAUGAGAUUCUGGCACCAUAAUGCAAAAUGUUCCUUUUUGAUAUCAUACAAAUUUAAAGCAAUCCUUCCUCUCAAAAUCCUUAACCUUCUUUUCUCAUGUCUGUCUAUCUCGGGUGAAGCAGCUCCCUAGGGAGCACUACCCAAAAGCUGCCUUUGAAGAAGUACUCGAGUGACCCUCUGUGAAGUGCUAUGUUCUGAAGCCUACUUGCACCUCCCCUUUUAAAUUGCUUUCUAAACUGCAGUCCCACUAAAAUAAAUAAAUAAAUAAAUGUUAAGAUGUUUACAUUGGGUGGGCAAAGUAGUUCACUGUGGAUUUGUCAUCAUUUACAUUAGGCUAUUUUUAUAAAACACUUCCAGUGUUUGUAAAGCUAUCGUCCAUUUUGCUCCAUAUAGAUCAUUGUUAUAAAGGACCAAUUCACUUUCCUCACACACAACUCAGUGGGGCUGGACACAUCAAUAAAGUAGGCAAUGGCUUGAGAAAAUAGCCCUCAAUAAGGACUUUCUAAAAAAUGGUCUGAGAAAUUCUCUUUUGUUGCAGAAAUUUCAGUAAUAGUGACCUUCUCAUUUCUUUAGACAUCCAGGAACUCCAAAUACAAAGAACGACAACAAAACAUGAUUCAGGAUUUCCCCUUCGCACUGUAUUAUGAAGAAACUCUCAUUCCUUCUUAGUCAUUCAUUGCAUGACAUUUUUUUCAGAAGUUGGUGAAUUGGUGUUCUGGAAAGGAGCAAUAUUGGGUUCUAGUCAUUUUAAUGCAUGAACACAGUGGAGAACAAACAAAGAUGGUUUCUCUUUUAUUUUCAUUUUCUUUAACCUUAAAGGGCCAGAUCUGCCACCCGGAUUCAGGUUGAGUGGUAUUUAACUAUACAAAGCAGACCUAUUGAAAGUAACAGGACUAUGUGCAAAGUAAGGUGCAACUCACCAUGAUUAAAGAUGGCAGAACUGGGCCCAAAGAAGAUUGGUAAUGCUGCUGUGAAACUUUUAUCCUUAAAAUAAUAGAGAUUAUUCACUGUACUGUGA